rnacentral:rRNA from 1 species
UACGUAGGGGGCAAGCGUUGUCCGGAUUUAUUGGGCGUAAAGAGCUCGUAGGUGGUUCGGUAAGUCGGAUGUGAAAUCUCCAGGCUCAACCUGGAGGGGUCAUUCGAUACUGCUGUGACUAGAGGUCGGUAGGGGAGUGUGGAAUUCCUGGUGGAGCGGUGAAAUGCGCAGAUAUCAGGAGGAACACCCGUAGCGAAGGCGGCACUCUGGGCCGAUACUGACACUGAGGAGCGAAAGCGUGGGGAGCGAACAGG